GUGGGGAAUAUUGGACAAUGGGCGAAAGCCUGAUCCAGCCAUGCCGCGUGUGUGAAGAAGGUCUUCGGAUUGUAAAGCACUUUAAGUUGGGAGGAAGGGCAGUAAGUUAAUACCUUGCUGUUUUGACGUUACCGACAGAAUAAGCACCGGCUAACUUCGUGCCAGCAGCCGCGGUAAUACGAAGGGUGCAAGCGUUAAUCGGGAUUACUGGGCGUAAAGCGCGCGUAGGUGGUUGUGUAAGUUGGAGGUGAAAUCCCCGGGAUCAACCUGGGAACUGCCUCCAAAACUGCAUGACUAGAGUACGGUAGAGGGUAGUGGAAUUUCCUGUGUAGCGGUGAAAUGCGUAGAUAUAGGAAGGAACACCAGUGGCGAAGGCGACUACCUGGACUGAUACUGACACUGAGGUGCGAAAGCGUGGGGAGCAAACAGGAUUAGAAACCCGGGUAGUCC
rnacentral:rRNA from 1 species